GACGAACGCUGGCGGCGUGCCUAAUACAUGCAAGUCGAACGCAUUUUCUUUCACCGUAGCUUGCUACACCGAAAGAAAAUGAGUGGCGAACGGGUGAGUAACACGUGGGUAACCUGCCCAUCAGCGGGGGAUAACACUUGGAAACAGGUGCUAAUACCGCAUAAUUCCAUUUACCGCAUGGUAGAUGGAUGAAAGGCGCUUUUGCGUCACUGAUGGAUGGACCCGCGGUGCAUUAGCUAGUUGGUGGGGUAACGGCCUACCAAGGCUGCGAUGCAUAGCCGACCUGAGAGGGUGAUCGGCCACACUGGGACUGAGACACGGCCCAGACUCCUACGGGAGGCAGCAGUAGGGAAUCUUCGGCAAUGGACACAAGUCUGACCGAGCAACGCCGCGUGAGUGAAGAAGGUUUUCGGAUCGUAAAACUCUGUUGUUAGAGAAGAACAAGGAUGAGAGUGGAAAGUUCAUCCCUUGAAGGUAUCUAACCAGAAAGCCACGGCUAACUACGUG
rnacentral:rRNA from 1 species